rnacentral:lncRNA from 10 species
UCCCCGCCCGCCCCCCCGCCCUAACCCCAGCGCGACUGCAGCUCCGGCAAAGACAACUGUGGGGCCGGGCGGCGGCAAGGCGACGGAAUGUGCUGCCGGCUGAGAGGGGGAGGCAGCCUCGAUCUGAGGGCCCCGGCGCUGCGGCCACGCCCAUCGCCUCCAGCCCGGCUCGCCCAUUGGCUAACCAGGCUCCGAGAGAUCUGAGCUUCGCUGUCUCCCGGUCGGACGCUCGCAGCUGCGUUCCCGGGCUGGGGCUCCGUGCCGUCCAGGGCCGGGUCUGGGGGCCAGGACCUGCUGGGAUGACGUGAGUUGAGGAGGCUCAGCGGAAAGCGACAGGAAAGUAAGCUCUCUGAAGUCAAGAACCAUAGUUGUUUUGUUCACUACUGUAUACUCAGCACCUAAUAGUACUUGGCACAUAAGUACUCAGGGACUAUUUGUCAAAUGCAAGAACAUAUGCCCCUAAAGCAGAAGUCAGGAAAACCAGAAAAAAUGCCUUUAAGUAUUACAGAAAUGCCACAGGCCUCCACUUAAAUUGAAAAGCAAGCUAACCCCUCUUGAUAAAAAUGUGGAUUGAGAUCAAGAAGCAGCUUCUCUGCUCCUUCUGGAAUCUCCACCUGGUUUAGCCUGCUGCCUCCACUCCUGCCUCCACCAUGUCCAUCAGGGUGAUCCAGAAGUCCUACAAGGUGUCCACCUUUGGCCCCCAGGCUUUCAGCAGCCACCCCUACACUAGUGGGCCCAGUGCCUGCACCAGCUCCUUGAGCUUCUCCCUAGUGGGGAGCUUCACUGUGCAGCUUCUGGGGUGGCCUGGGCGGAGGCUAUGGUGGGGCCAGCAGUAUGCGAGGCAUCACCACCAUCACGGUAAACCAGAGCCUGCUGAGCCCCCUUAACCUGGAGGUGGACUCCAACAUCCAGGCUGUAUACACCCAGGAGAAGGAGCAGAUCAAGACCCUCAACAACAAGUUUGCCUCCUUCACAGACCAGGUAUGGUUCCUGGAGCA